CAGCCGCCGCGGGAAUACGUAGGUGGCAAGCGUUGUCCGGAAUUAUUGGGCGUAAAGCGCGCGCAGGCGGAUAGGUCAGUCUGUCUUAAAAGUUCGGGGCUUAACCCCGUGAUGGGAUGGAAACUGCCAAUCUAGAGUAUCGGAGAGGAAAGUGGAAUUCCUAGUGUAGCGGUGAAAUGCGUAGAUAUUAGGAAGAACACCAGUGGCGAAGGCGACUUUCUGGACGAAAACUGACGCUGAGGCGCGAAAGCCAGGGGAGCGAACAGGAUUAGAUACCCCUGUAGUCCCUGUCUCUUAUACA
rnacentral:rRNA from 1 species